GAGGGAGCGUCCGCGGCCCGCGCAGAGCCGCGCACCAAGCCGAUGGCGGUGGACGCAGCAGGGCCCCGCGGUCUGAGUGCGGGCAGGCGCGCGUGGGCGUGUCUCCCUGGCCCACGCGUGUCCCCGGCAUCAGUGUCUCGGCUCUGGUCCAGGACGAAGACUUCUGAAAGCGAGCCAAGGAGAAUCGCAGUUCUUAACGGAGCCCCUGACUGCCGGUGGAACUGCCCUGUGGAAGGAGGUGAUUUAGAAGACAGUGAGUUGAUCUGGGGCAAAGUGAAGCAUCAGUAGCGCCUUCCAUCCCUUCACCUCAUCUGGAUCUCUUCACUUCACUCCACGUCUGUCGUCUCCCACGCGUGAAGCAACAUGGCCAAGUGAAGUAACCAGUAAAGUGUAAGGUAUCAAGUAGUGACAAUGAUGGUGUCAAAUAA
rnacentral:lncRNA from 1 species